rnacentral:rRNA from 1 species
CGGGCGUAGGAAAUUUGAGAGGAUCUGCUCCUAGUACGAGAGGACCAGAGUGGACUUACCGCUGGUGUACCAGUUGUUCUGCCAAGAGCAUCGCUGGGUAGCUAUGUAGGGAAGGGAUAAACGCUGAAAGCAUCUAAGUGUGAAGCCCACCUCAAGAUGAGAUUUCCCAUGAUUUUAUAUCAGUAAGAGCCCUGAGAGAUGAUCAGGUUGAUAGGUUAGAAGUGGAAGUGUGGUGACACAUGUAGCGGACUAAUACUAAUAGCUCGAGGACUUAUCCAA